rnacentral:ncRNA from 1 species
AUUACUGCUGUGAAGGGAACCCAACAGUAGAUUUUCUAUCCCUGUUUUUAGAGAGUCAGCGGAAGGUGAAAGCUGAUACAUAUAGAGAAUUGAAUUACGUCCUGGAGCUUUUUCUGCGAAAAUUGGAGUAGCAGAGAACGGGUAAGCCGUUAAUUUUAUGAGGUGGAGGAAGUUUUUAUUCCUCAAGCCGGGUGGUACCGCGUAUUUAUACGUCCCUGCA